GAUAUUGUUGCAAUGAUAGAAGUUGGUCAACAGAGUCAAGUUUGUCAUGACAAGAAGAAGUUUGAUGCCAAACAGAAAUUGGAAAUGGAAGGAAGCUAAAAGGGAAAUUGCAAGUUAUGAAGCAUGUUGGAGAUGAAGGUGAUACAGCGGUUCAGAAAAAGAUAAAAGAAAUGAACGAUGAAUUGCAAGAAAAAAUAGAGAAUUUGGAAUCUGUGGAGAGCAUGAAUCAAACCCUCAUUAUGAAGGAACGUCAAAGUAAUGAUGAACUGUAGGAAGCUCGCAAAGAAUUAUUAAAAGGGUUAGAGGAUAUGCUUAAUGGUCCUUAAGGUAAUAUUGGGCUCAAGAGAAUGGGAGAGCUAGAUCAGAAGGUUUUUGUGACUAAAUGCAAGGAAAGAUUUUCUCUUCAAGAAGCUGGGACCAAAGGUGUCGAGCUUUGCUCUUUGUGGCAGGAAAACGUGAAGAAAAUUCUGCUUGGCAUCCAUUUAAAGUGAUCACAAAUGAUGAUAAAGCAGAGACGAUCAUAAUGCCACGGGGGUUGUCAAUAUGGCCGGACGGCUCUAGAAUUAUCCUCGCUCUGAUCAGACGGUCAAGAGCGAACGACCAGAAAAAUUAUGUAGUUAUCUACGCGAAUAUUAAGGUAAGCAGUGAUUUAAGUUAUUGGGCCAAAAUUGGGCCAUGAUUAACGUCUCACUAAUCUCA